rnacentral:rRNA from 1 species
UACGAAGGGGGCUAGCGUUGCUCGGAAUCACUGGGCGUAAAGCGCACGUAGGCGGACUCUUAAGUCGGGGGUGAAAUCCUGGAGCUCAACUCCAGAACUGCCUUCGAUACUGAGAGUCUUCGAGUUCGGGAGAGGUGAGUGGAACUGCGAGUGUAGAGGUGAAAUUCGUAGAUAUUCGCAAGAACACCAGUGGCGAAGGCGGCUCACUGGCCCGAUACUGACGCUGAGGUGCGAAAGCGUGGGGGAGCAAACAGGG